CAGCCGCCGCGGUAAUACGAAGGGUGCAAGCGUUAAUCGGAAUUACUGGGCGUAAAGCGUGCGUAGGCGGUUUGUUAAGUCUGUUGUGAAAUCCCCGGGCUCAACCUGGGAAUGGCAAUGGAUACUGGCAAGCUAGAGUGUGUCAGAGGAUGGUGGAAUUCCCGGUGUAGCGGUGAAAUGCGUAGAGAUCGGGAGGAACAUCAGUGGCGAAGGCGGCCAUCUGGGACAACACUGACGCUGAGGCACGAAAGCGUGGGGAGCAAACAGGAUUAGAUACCCCGUAGUCCCUGUCUCUUAUACA
rnacentral:rRNA from 1 species